rnacentral:lncRNA from 1 species
GACUGUUCUUUUUCACUAGAAGAAUCUCACAUGCUCCAGGUAUUAUAUGAGGUUCUAAUUCCUACUCGUUUAUUGUAAAAAUCCUGGAGAAAGCUCAUUGAUGUAACAAUAAAAUAUGAAUUUUUCCCUUUAAUGCAGCCCUGUAAAACACAUUCUCAAACCUCAUGUCAUCCAAUAUACCUUUUGUAUUUUUUCUUAUAAUUCAUGUGUAUGAAUGCAUAGAGCUGCUUUUUUUAAAUGAAAAAAUACAGAAUUUCACGGUCUUUUUGGAUUUCUUUUAAGGCCUUUCAGUAUAUCCAAGCUGAAGUAACAUCUAUGCAUUGUUUUGUUAUUAUGGUAAUAACAAGUUCUAGUUUAUAAUAAUAUAUAGUACUUUUUUGGGACUAGGAGCAAUGAUAUACUGCUUUUUAGUAACUGGUAAAUAGUAUGUUUUUGUCUAUUUGAACUAGAAAUGAGAAGGAGAAAAAAGAAACUAUUUUUAAUAUAUAUAAAACAUACUCUAUUUAAUAAAGUAUAUGCAUAAAAUGAUACAUUAGGUAAGAAGCAAAAUUAUAAAGAAAACAGCUUAUAAUAUUCCUGAUUAAUUAGAGUUUCUAAAUAUAAAAACAAAUGAAAGUGACUUGCCAUUUACAAAAUUAGCACAUCAUACAACUUUUACAUACUUCGGAGGAAAUAAAGAUCUUGCGACACUGUUCUGAGGAAUCGUUGCAUUUAUAAAAAUCGAAGGCUUAAUUUUGCAAAUACAACUUUCAAGCCGUAUGAGCAAAUUCAACUUACAUGAAAGGCACAAGAUAACAUCAUGUUGAAGAACUUUAUCCGUAAAUUUCAUAAAGUCUAGUCACAAGUUAUUGGAAACUUCGUAAGGAAUCUCAGAACUGUUUUUAACAUGAUGUUCCGAUUUAAACUGAGAACUGCAUAGUCUUUAUAUCACAAAUGUAAAUUGAAGUAAGAGUGAAGAUUUAGAGAGAGAAUAGUUUCUUAUUUUGGAUGCUACCUGCUUUAGGCAGUGUUGGUUACUAAAUACUCAGAGCAGAAAAUUAAAAUUGAAUCGUUUUUCAUUUUCUACAGCUUAUCUGCUGUGUUUUCAGUUUGUAAAAAAAAAUGUAUUUUCACAUUACUGCAAUUUUUGAAGAGUCAAUCACUGAAAGAAAUUUUAAAGUAAAGUCUUGCUCUACUAGCUUCCUACAUUGAAAUACAAGAAUACAGGAAGUGCUUUCAACAGAAAGUUACGUAGUUCUACAGUACAACCUGUCUAAAGACUUGCAAGGGACCAGCACAGUGACUUUGUCUCUUUGGAUCAGGCAAAAGCAGAAGCAAAUGAAAAAUGAACUUUUAAAAAAAAAUUAACAUAUUAAAAACAUUCCUGUAUGAAAACGAAUGCUUGUCUGCACUUAGAUUUAGUGCUAUAGAGAGGAACUGAGGCACAAUGAAACUAAGUGCACAAAAGGAACAUGUCUGAAAUAAAACAAUUUUCAAUGUGACUGAAACCCUUCGCCAUUAGAUAUGACUUACGAUAGGGUUGGAGGACUACUUUUUCAUAUUAAAGAACAUUACAAACACCAGGGACUGGCCAAACUAUGUUUUAUAAAUAAUAUGUAGAGUGAUAUUAAAAUUAUAUUGCGACUAAAACUCUGGUUUUUAAAAUCACUUAUAAUUUUGAUUUUUCAUAAAAUUACCGGCUCUUUUGCUAAAUUAAAAUUAACUUCAAAUCAAAAACAUCUUAUUAAAUUUCUGGAGGACUGUUAGUUUAACAAUGAUAAUGUACGUUUCUCAGUUUCCCAAACAAGCUCUAUCAGAUACACAUAUUUUCUUCAUUUAUCUCAGUAUUAGAUGUUCUUUCCAUAGAACUUAAAGCAUUUUGGUAAAAGGUUGAAUAUGAUUCUUCAAAGAACAGCUCUUCCAAUGGCGACUUGGUAGAAACAGUAAUGUUGUAAUUAGAAAUAUGCUGCAUUGGAUGGUAACUGUUUGCUUAUUGUAUUCAUCGUGACUCUAGCAACGCCUGCCAUCUACGUACUUGCCGUCCUUUUGACUCUUUCAUUUCAGUCCAGUGAUUGAGUUCUUCUCCAGAGCUGUUGAGACCUAAAUAAAUCCAGCCUAUCAUCUUUCUUCUCAUGCUGCUUUUGUUAUACACAGACAGCAUGAGUGUCACAUGAGAAAGCUGAAAUAGGGUCACUUUGAAAACAAAAGUUUCCUUGUAUACUGGAUUUGGCCGCCCUCUGCGGAUGGAUAUCUUGCAUUUGGACAUCUCUUGAUCCGUGGAUUUCCGUAGAGUUAACUUAACAUAUGUAUUGGGUGGUCUGUUUGCUGCCCAAUUUUUUAAGUGGCUGCCUUUUAUCACUUCUGCUGAUAGUCUCCCAUUUGUGGCAUUAUAAAGCAGGCUAAUGAGAAUUUCUGGAACUGACCCGUCUUCGAGAGACUGACAUGCGGAUGUACUUUCACUACAAGACAUUUCUGACACGCUCAUUUGGGAGUCACAGACACAUUUUAUCUUGUGAAUUGUUCCUUGUACUGUAUUCUGAACCAAGAUCUGGAAGCCCUCCAACAUUUUCAAAACAGAACUGCUUAUUAAUAUAGAGAAAAAGAAGCAGCAUCAGGAUAAUAAACACCCAAACAGCUGACAAAAACCCAACUGCCUCUGGAGAUACUUUUCUAAAACAGAUGCAGAAGAUCCAGUGGGCAAUUUCAUUUCAUAAUCUUGAUUGGCACCCACACCCUUGCCCCAACUUCUGACUCUUUGGACUGUACCAUAAAAAGGAAAUAAACCUUUACUAUAUUAAAGCACUGACA